GAUGAACGCUGGCGGCGUGCCUAACACAUGCAAGUCGAGCGGAGUCCAGCCUUUAAGACCUUCGGGUCAAAGAGGGGAAGACUGAGUGGCGGACGGGUGAGUAACACGUGGGCAACCUGGCUCAUAGAGGGGGAUAACAGAGAGAAAUUUCUGCUAAUACCGCAUAAGCACACACUGCCGCAUGGCAGAGGGUGAAAAGAGAAUCGCUAUGAGAUGGACCCGCGUCUGAUUAGCCAGUUGGCAGGGUAAGAGCCUACCAAAGCGACGAUCAGUAGCCGAUCUGAGAGGAUGAACGGCCACAUUGGGACUGAGACACGGCCCAAACUCCUACGGGAGGCAGCAGUGGGGGAUAUUGCACAAUGGGGGGAACCCUGAUGCAGCGACGCCGCGUGAGUGAAGAAGUAUUUCGGUAUGUAAAGCUCUAUCAGCAGGGAAGAUAAUGACAGUACCUGAAUAAGAAGCCCCGGCUAACUACGUG
rnacentral:rRNA from 1 species